GUCCACGCCGUAAACGAUGGAUGCUAGCCGUCGGCAAGCUUGCUUGUCGGUGGCGCAGCUAACGCAUUAAGCAUCCCGCCUGGGGAGUACGGCCGCAAGGUUAAAACUCAAAGGAAUUGACGGGGGCCCGCACAAGCGGUGGAGCAUGUGGUUUAAUUCGACGCAACGCGAAGAACCUUACCAGCCCUUGACAUGUCCGGUCGGUUUCCAGAGAUGGAUUCCUCCUAGCAAUAGGUCGGAACACAGGUGCUGCAUGGCUGUCGU
rnacentral:rRNA from 1 species